rnacentral:rRNA from 1 species
AUACGUAGGGGGCGAGCGUUGUCCGGAAUGAUUGGGCGUAAAGGGCGCGUAGGCGGCUUUGCAAGUCAGUAGUGGAAGUCCAUUUUUCAAGGAUGGAAGUGCUACAGAAACUGCGGAGCUUGAGUGCAGGAGAGGUUAUCGGAAUUCCCGGUGUAGCGGUGAAAUGCGUAGAGAUCGGGAGGAACACCAGUGGCGAAGGCGGGUAACUGGACUGCAACUGACGCUGAGGCGCGAAAGUGUGGGGAGCAAACAGGAUUAGAUACCCUGGUAGUCCACACUGUAAACGAUGAAUGCUAGGUGUAGGAGGUAUCGACCCCUUCUGUGCCGCGGUAAACACAGUAAGCAUUCCGCCUGGGGAGUACGGUCGCAAGAUUAAAACUCAAAUGAAUUGACGGGG